GGACCGAGGCGGCGAGAUGUCUAAAAUAGGAAGACGCUGGGGACGGCUGGCCUGGCUGCCCGAGAUGCUGGCUGCGGGGAUCUGGUCCAGCUGUGCAGAUGGAAAAGCUAGGAGGAGCUCAGAUAGCAUCAGGCUGGUGACAACUUCACCAUGAACCCAAGGACAGCCUUGAAGUCCUCAUCCUCUGGACUCACAGGCACACGGCACAGUGUGGGUGCACUGAGCUACCUCCCCGGCACUGUAAUGAAGGUCUUGAGGUACCCCAUGCACAUCUGUCUAAUGACUUCUGUAGGGUAAAACUGUAAACACACAAUUGAUGGGGCAGAAAGACCUGCAAGCUCAACCAGCAGUCAACAAGUACUGGCCUUGGCCCAGCCCCGCUGUAAGGCCUGGUGCAGCCAGCGUCUCCACUCUUGCGGAUUUACAGUGCAGCUGAGGAGAAGCACACUAUUCCACCAGAGAUGGAUGCUAUUGAGAAAGCAAAUAGAAGCCCAGAGGAAUGCUUUUGAGCAGUCACAUGAUGGGACCCUGCUGUGCCAAGUCUGAGGGGCCAUCACCCGUGAGUGGGCAGAGACACUGCAAAGGAUGGUGGGUAGGAGGUUCAAAAUGAUGGCCAGGGUGCCCAGAGUGGGUGGACAAGUGAAAGAAUGGUUCAAGAGAAGACAGAAAGAUCAGCGGCAGCUUCGUGAAGAGCUGUAUGGGAUGGAGAGCAUGGAUCCAUGGCAACGGAGUGAGCCGAGGCUUCUUGGCUGCUGCAUGGAAAGCGGCCAGAGUGAACAGAGAGAGGCCAGGUCCAGCGGCUGGAAGCAGCCAGCAGCCUAACAGCGCCACCGUGUGGAAGACGUGGGCCAGCACAACAGGAUACGCCUGAAAAUCCCUAGACAGCUUCCCCAAAGAAGAGGAAGCCAGGUGGUGCACACCUAUAAUCCCAGCACUCACGGAGGCAGAGACAGGCUGAUCACUCUAAGUUUGAGGCCAGCCUGGUCUACAAAGUGAGUCCAGGACAACUGAGGCUACACAGAGAAACCC